rnacentral:rRNA from 1 species
UACGUAGGGGGCAAGCGUUGUCCGGAUUUAUUGGGCGUAAAGAGCGUGUAGGCGGCCAGGUAGGUGGGUUGUGAAAACUGGAGGCUCAACCUUCAGACGUCGACCCAAACCCCCUGGCUAGAGUCCGGAAGAGGCGAGUGGAAUUCCUGGUGUAGCGGUGAAAUGCGCAGAUAUCAGGAGGAACACCAAUUGCGAAGGCAGCUCGCUGGGACGUUACUGACGCUGGAGACGCGAAAGCGUGGGGAGCAAACAGG